rnacentral:rRNA from 1 species
CGGGGUGAGUAAUGUCUGGGAAACGUGCCUGAUGGAGGAGGAUAACUACUGGAAACGGUAGCUAAUACCGCAUAACGUCGCAAGACCAAAGAGGGGGACCUUCGGGCCUCUUGCCAUCGGAUGUGCCCAGAUGGGAUUAGCUAGUAGGUGGGGUAACGGCUCACCUAGGCGACGAUCCCUAGCUGGUCUGAGAGGAUGACCAGCCACACUGGAACUGAGACACGGUCCAG